UACGUAGGCGGAUUAGUCAGUCAGAGGUGAAAUCCCAGGGCUCAACCCUGGAACUGCCUUUGAUACUGCUAGUCUUGAGUUCGAGAGAGGUGAGUGGAAUUCCGAGUGUAGAGGUGAAAUUCGUAGAUAUUCGGAGGAACACCAGUGGCGAAGGCGGCUCACUGGCUCGAUACUGACGCUGAGGUACGAAAGUGUGGGGAGCAAACA
rnacentral:rRNA from 1 species